GACGAACGCUGGCGGCGUGCUUAACACAUGCAAGUCGUACGGUAAGGCCCUUUCGGGGGUACACGAGUGGCGAACGGGUGAGUAACACGUGAGUAACCUGCCCACAACUUUGGGAUAACGCUAGGAAACUAGUGCUAAUACUGGAUAUGUGCUCCUGCUGCAUGGUGGGGGUUGGAAAGCUCCGGCGGUUGUGGAUGGACUCGCGGCCUAUCAGCUUGUUGGUGGGGUAGUGGCCUACCAAGGCGGCGACGGGUAGCCGGCCUGAGAGGGUGACCGGCCACAUUGGGACUGAGAUACGGCCAAGACUCCUACGGGAGGCAGAAGUGGGGAAUAUUGCACAAGGGGAGCAAGCCUGAUGCAGCAACGCCGCGUGCGGGAUGACGGCCUUCGGGUUGUAAACCGCUUUCAGCAGGGACGAAGCUCUUUGUGACGGUACCUGCAGAAGAAGCACCGGCUAACUACGUG
rnacentral:rRNA from 1 species